GCUGGGCAGUCUUGCAGCUGGGUUGCUCCAUGGUUUCUGCCUCCUGUUAGAGGGCUGUAGAAGUUUGAUCUUUGUUUUUGUCUCCAGUACGGCAGGAUCUUUUUUGGUUCUGGAUGCUGGUCUUGUUCGUGUCCUUAUGGCUGGGACCACGCUGGGUUUUCUCUGAAAAAAACUUCUCUCUGCAUCCCCGACUGUUGUCCUGGUAUUGUCAGCAAGCACAAGCCCGAAUGGCAUGCAGAUUGUGUUAAUUUGCACUGAAGACAGUCUUUGGCUCUACAAAUAAGAAAGCAUCUUUAAACACAUCCGUUCUCUACUGAGCUGAGUACUCCUGGCUUCCAGCUCUGUGGUGCACACAUGCACUCGGCCAGCAAGAUCAGUGAGGGACUUACAAGCUGGUUGUGCUGGAGAGCCUGAGCAGGCCCCUGCUGAGUGUGCCAAAGGUAGCAAUAAAGCUGGGUAACUUGCUGCAACAAGCAGAGAGAGGAUAUAGGAGAAAAGAAGAGUGCUGGGGAGGUUCAGCUGUGCCCAUCAGUAGCAUUUUGCAUUUCCUGAGCACCAGACUGGUACCAGAUCUACGGCCUGCCCGAAGACCAGGCUGCCGAAGGAAGGAAGUGGCAUGCUGGGGAGUUCAGAGGUGUUGAAGACAGCCCUGACCGUUCUGAGUGCCUCGUGGGAGGACGAGGAGGAGUGGGAAGCAGAGCUGAGCAUCGCUGCCCUGCAGCCCCGGCUGGAUGCUGCCAGCGUUACCCCUGCCUGCCCUCCAGCUGCACGGCACAAAGCCCAUGCAGAACUGCCAUGGCAGGUAGGAAACUUCCAGCCCGGUCUAAAGUAAAUCUGAUUCCUGAAGGUGAAAAAGGUUAAGAUUAACUUUAAAUGUCUUGAAUUUCCUGCGGGACUGUGUUCUGUGGAAAGGAUGGUGGGGCUCGUUCAGCUGCUUACCCCUCACACUACAGUUACGUGGCUGGAAGGAUUCAGCUGUCAGCGUGCUGACAAGUGCCAAGAAGCUCUUGCUAAGGGCAGCGAUAUCAGAGCAUCGUGUCCCAUACAGCUCCCUGAGUACCGGGGCUGCUGUCAGUGGGAGCAGGGUCGGACGUGGGGCUCUGCUCCUCGAGGCAGGUCUGGCACCCAGCCCGCAGCUCCUCCCGGGGAGGGCUGGGCUGGGCUGCUCAGGGUAAGUGCGAAAGCUCUGAAAAAGCACGACCUUUAAAUUCAGGCUGAAAUGGAAAGAUCUGCUGCUACAUAAAAAUCCGGGCUUGCUUUCAUGUGUCUGAGCAUUCGGGGAAUAGAUGUAGCUUAAAAUGCAAAUGCAGUGCCUUCUGCAGAGUGUCUCUGCUUUUCAAGAUCUCUCUUUUCACGCUGUUGCUGCUCCCUGCCCUGCUGUUUCUAUGAAAAGGGCCUCUCCGAGGAAAA